GUAUAAGUUAUAUAAACUGCAUUUGUUAUUUUGAAAUGUUGCAGGCUGUAAGGAUACAAACAGAUUGGACAGCUUCCAAAACACAUGCCAUACGAAAUAUCUUACAAGUAUUUUGGCCCAACACCAUCUCCAAUCACAGACUACACCAGUUGUCACAACAGAAAAACAUUGACACAAUCCUAAAAAGAAGAAGGUGGAAAUGGUUAGGACACAUCUCCAGAAUGGCCAGCAACUUACCAGCAAAAACAGUGCUGACAUGGACCCCGGAGGGGAAGAGAAAAUGAGGCAGGGCCAGAACAACAUGGAGCCGAACCAUGGAAGAAAAACUCAAGGCUGCCAGGCUUACAUGGGAGCUUGAUAAUGGUGCUGAGUGAAAAGUGAGACGUUUGUGAAAUUGUAUACAGAUACGACCUUUCUCCACCUGUUUUACAUAUUGUUUAUUUGUCCACCAAACCCAUUUGGUAAAUGACAGUAUUGACUGCUAGUCAAGAAAGUCUGGUUGUUUGACAUCUCUGCAAGGCCAUAUCAAUGUUUUGCAGGGUGUACCAUAGAUCACAGACUGUACUUGUUAGAUAUUGAAAGCAUGUAAUGCUGUUCUUAACACUUUUUUGAACAAGGAUACACAUGCAGGUGUUGUUGGUGAUUAGAAAUAUGAAUGUUCUUUUGUUAAUCGCUGGUAUAGUGUAAUGUUAAUCUAAUGUUACACAUCUUGAAAAAUACAGUGGUGCCCAAAA